AUUGAACGCUGGCGGAAUGCUUUACACAUGCAAGUCGAGCGGCAGCACGGGGGCAACCCUGGUGGCGAGCGGCGAACGGGUGAGUAAUACAUCGGAACAUGCCCAGUCGUGGGGGAUAACACUUCGAAAGAAGUGCUAAUACCGCAUACGUCCUGAGGGAGAAAGCGGGGGAUCGCAAGACCUCGCGCGAUUGGAGUGGCCGAUGUCAGAUUAGCUAGUUGGUGGGGUAAAGGCCUACCAAGGCAACGAUCUGUAGCUGGUCUGAGAGGAUGAUCAGCCACACUGGGACUGAGACACGGCCCAGACUCCUACGGGAGGCAGCAGUGGGGAAUUUUGGACAAUGGGGGCAACCCUGAUCCAGCCAUUCCGCGUGAGUGAAGAAGGCCUCGGGUUGUAAGACUCUUUCUAGCAGGAACGAAACAGU
rnacentral:rRNA from 1 species